AAAUAGAUAACAUGUCAAAUUCUUAUUGGUUAACUAAAAGGGGGUGAAUGAAUGGAUUCACCUCCUAGGGAUGAACCCAAGAAUUGUUCUUAAUUUAUAGAGGUUAUACUGUAGUCUGUAAUUGCUUAUAUUAAGGUUUAGGUUGAUUUAACAAAAUGUUAGACUCAGUUCAGCUUAAAAGUAAUCAGAAAAUUUCUUCUCAAUUUGUUCGUCUUCUCUCAUCUCCGAUUUUCAGAUAAUUCUCUAUUCCUUCCUCGCAAUAAGUCUCAUUUCGUUUUGGGAUUCAUCUCGGUUUGUUCAUCAACUGUUUUUAUGGACAUCUAUU
rnacentral:sRNA from 1 species